UAGAGAUGUUUUGCUCUACACCAAGAGAAAAUAUCAUAAUCCGGUUAUUUACAUCACAGAGAAUGGCUUUGAUGAGCUUAAUGAUCCCAAGUUAUCUCUUGAGGAAGCCCUAGUCGACAACCAAAGAGUUGACUAUCAUUUUCGCCAUCUUUAUUACCUUGAAGCAGCGAUCAAAGAUGGUGUCAAUGUGAAAGGGUACUUUGCGUGGUCAUUGCUAGACAAUUUUGA